rnacentral:rRNA from 1 species
CCCUUAGAUGUUCUGGGCCGCACGCGCGCUACACUGACGAAUGCAACGAGCUUAUAACCUUGGCCGAAAGGUCUGGGUAAUCUCCAAAUUUCGUCGUGAUGGGGAUAGAUUAUUGCAAUUAUUAAUCUUCAACGAGGAAUGCCUAGUAAGCGCAAGUCAUCAGCUUGCGUUGAUUACGUCCCUGCCCUUUGUACACACCGCCCGUCGCUCCUACCGAUUGAGUGCUCAGGUGAAUAAUUCGGACUGCAGCAGUGUUUGGAUCCCGAACGCUGCAGCGGAAAGUUUAGUGAACCUUAUCACUUAGAGGAAGGAGAANUCGUAACA